CAUUGAAUGAGAAGGUGUGUCCAAACUUUUGGCCUGUACUGUAUAUAUAGUGACAACCCCUCCGCUCCACUAGUUGUCCCUGCCCUUUUCUGCUGUGUUUUCUCUCUUGCAGGAAGCAGGGCGGAGGGUGUCGCCAGCUUGAUCAGCUGAUGGGAUCAUCAGCCUGAUGAGCCACUCCUGUGUGGGCUCUUAAAAGCUCCCCUCCUGCCUGUCAUCUCUCUCUUGCUGGUCUGGUCAGAGGGGCGGGCUGCUGCUGUUUGUUUUGUUGCUCUCUCCCUACAUUUUCACACAUCCACACAUGCUGACACUACUGAUUACUGACUUUCACGUUUACCUUAGUUUGAUUAUCUUUUGUAAAUAAAUACUUUUUUUUUUUUUUGCAUGGUAAAACUCGUCUUGUCUCCCAUCUUUGUCACUGCCUCAGAGCCGGGCUGUGACAAAUGGGAGCUUGUCAAAACUCGGUGACGUCAGAGAUCAGCUGUAGCUGUAGUAAGUGAUGCGCCUUGUUUUUGUGAAUGAGUUGCACAGUCUGUGUUUUGUUUGGGAGACGUUUGACGAGUGUGGUAAGUCUGUUUGUCAUUUUGGUUAAGCAGCGUUAAGAAGUCUGUUUGUUCUGAGGAGAGUGUUUUGUCGCCAGGCUGUGUUGUGUGUUUUUUUGGUUUUGUUUUUUUUUUGUGUGCGCUGAGUUUGUUUGGUCCUGUGCACAGCAGUAGUAAGUCGCUGUUGUUCUGUCCCUGUAGGGCUUAAGAGCGAGUUCCCUUUGGAGUUUGUUUGGGGGGUGUUAGUGUGGCAUGAAAGUGGCUGGAGCAAAUUGUCUCGGGAGCACAUCCGGAGCUGCAGUGUCUCCUGGAUUACGGCUGUCAGGCAGGUUGUUUGUUUUCCUUCCCCUCCCCCCUCACUCUGCACUCUGCCAGCCCAGCAAUCAUCUACACCUGUUCCUGCCUCUGGUAUCUCACACACCUGAUCCUAAUCUCAUUAUCACCCAACCACUACAAGAGCUGACUCUGACCUGCAGUCACUGCCGAAUUGUCUUCAAAACACGAAAGCCAACCUGCCAGCCCUGCCAGACAUUCGGACCACAAGCCUGCCAGCAGCCCUCCUAUCCAGAACCAUUUAUCCGCUUCAACCGGCUUCCACACCAUUCCCUCCAUUCAUCCCUUAUUGAACUUCUGUAAUAAAGACUGUUAACCUGCCAUUGUCUGACUCUUGGUUCUUCUGCACUAGCUGU